rnacentral:rRNA from 1 species
UUCCAGACUCCUACGGGAGGCAGCAGUGGGGAAUAUUGCACAAUGGGGGGAACCCUGAUGCAGCGACGCCGCGUGGGUGAGGAAGUACUUCGGUAUGUAAAGCCCUAUCAGCAGGGAAGAAAAUGACGGUACCUGACUAAGAAGCCCCGGCUAACUACGUGCCAGCAGCCGCGGUAAUACGUAGGGGGCAAGCGUUAUCCGGAUUUACUGGGUGUAAAGGGAGCGUAGACGGUUGCGCAAGUCUGGAGUGAAAGGCGGGGGCCCAACCCCCGGACUGCUCUGGAAACUGUGUAACUGGAGUGCAGGAGAGGUAAGUGGAAUUCCUAGUGUAGCGGUGAAAUGCGUAGAUAUUAGGAGGAACACCAGUGGCGAAGGCGGCUUACUGGACUGUAACUGACGUUGAGGCUCGAAAGCGUGGGGAGCAAACAGGAUUAGAUACCCCCGUA